rnacentral:siRNA from 1 species
AGCAAAAGGCAUUAUCGGGGUA